CGCCACCCUGAACAAGCCCAAUCUUGUCUGAUCUCGGAAGCUAAGCAGGGUCAGGCCUGGUUAGUACUUGGAUGGGAAACCACCUAGGAAGACUAGGUGCUGUAGGCG
rnacentral:rRNA from 1 species